CCAGACUCCUACGGGAGGCAGCAGUGAGGAAUAUUGGUCAAUGGUCGGGAGACUGAACCAGCCAAGCCGCGUGAGGGAGGAAGGUACAGAGUAUCGUAAACCUCUUUUGUCAGGGAGCAACGCCGGCUACGUGUAGCCGGACUGAGAGUACCUGAAGAAAAAGCAUCGGCUAACUCCGUGCCAGCAGCCGCGGUAAUACGGAGGAUGCGAGCGUUAUCCGGAUUUAUUGGGUUUAAAGGGUGCGUAGGCGGAAUGCCAAGUCAGCGGUAAAAUUGCGGGGCUCAACCUCGUCGAGCCGUUGAAACUGGCAGUCUCGAGUUGGAGAGAAGUAUGCGGAAUGCGCGGUGUAGCGGUGAAAUGCAUAGAUAUCGCGCAGAACUCCGAUUGCGAAGGCAGCAUGCCGGCUCCACACUGACGCUGAGGCACGAAAGCGUGGGUAUCGAACAGGAUUAGAUACCCCAGUAA
rnacentral:rRNA from 1 species